UCUGACAACAACUGUAUUCGUGUCUACAAAUGGUACAGCGUAAAGCCAAUAAAAGUAAUUAGUGAUGCUCGCGCUGCUGCCGUUAUGUGUUUUGCUGUUCAUCCCACCCUUCCAUAUCUUUUGUCAUCAUCUGAUGAUAAGACAAUCAAGCUCUGGAACUGGGAUUUGGACUGGUGUUGUACUCUGGUUUUUGUAGGGCAUUCUGCUUCUGGUGUGCACAUCACUUUCAAUCCCAAAGACAACAAUACUUUUGCUAGUGCAUCACUUGACAAUACCACAAAAAUAUGGAGUCUUGGUUCUCUGUUGCCACAAUUUACUUUAGUAGAGGAACAUCUGGAAGGACAUCGAAAAGGGGUAUUGUGUGUAGACUACUUUACUCUUAGCGAUAAACCAUACCUUAUCACUGGCUCGGCUGAUCAGACUGCUAAGGUGUGGGACUACCAAACUAAGAGAUGCCUUCAGAAACUUGAAGGUCAUACUGACGAUGUUACCGAGUGUGUUUCCAUCCAGUGAUCCCAAUAAUUAUUACAGUAUCCGAAGAUGCAACUGCCUACAUAUGGCAUGCCACCACGUUCAGGCUUGAGAAAACAUUGAAGUUGAAGUUUAGCCGUACGAGAUGUUAUGCUAUCGGACACAUGAAAGGUUCAUACCAGGUUGUAUUUGCACUACAAGAAAACAUGCAGUUUGAGACUACAGUUUAUGACUCUUUUUUUGGUCACAAAUAAUUGUAACGUUUUUGGGACGAAUUUAUAACUAAUAGAAGACUACAUAAACAAUGGUUGCAAAACAGUCCCAAAAUUACUACAAACAGUUGUAGUCUCCAAAUCGUCUCAUAUUUGUGACUAUUAUAAGACUAUUAUAAGACUAUAUCAUUGUAAUCCUAAAAUAAUCGUAAAUUGUGACGAAUUAGAGACGCUUUUUAUG